CAAUGAAGACGACUCCCCAACACGAGCCCACGAGGAUUCGAUCUCUCUUGCCUCGCCGCGUCGGUCUCGGCUAGUCGGCUCCCCCUCCCCGUCUUGGCGUCUCUCAAUGUGCCGCGCCGCUCACCUCACCGUCGACGCGAAUCCCUCGCCGUCCCCGCACACGAUACCUGGCGCGUGUCUUCUUGGUCUCCGUUCCGCUCCGCUCCGCCGCGCUGCGAGGGGAAGCUGGAUGACAAUUUGCUAGUUCUGUGACUUCCUUGCCAUGGUAUGUUUAGCAGUGGAGAGUCCUUCCUAAAGAGCCCAAUUGUGUUGUAUGUGGGUGAGAUGGCAAGUAUACAUGUGGCCAAAUUGGUGAUGCAUUCAUGAGCAUUCGUUUUGCUGUUAUUUCUGCCAACAUAAAGCUAGCAACAGAAGUAGAAAAAUUUGUCAAACCUUCAGUUGGUGGUGAGAGCUUCAGUGUCUAAGGCAGCAGCUUACCUGCUAGAUCAAUUUCACAUAUUGGAGCUUUUAAUAGAGAACUGCAAUCACAGGCGCCUCAUCCUGUGGUCUCCUGCGGAAGGUUUUGCUCAUCCUGAGACCUCACGAUCUGUUAUGCCUACCCAACACAGAUGCAUCAAUAAAUAAUGGAAGCUUUUGACUCUGUUGAUGCUAGGUAUCUGCAAAGAAACAGUUAUGUUCCCAGUUGACAAAAUCUCUAGUUGUUCAAAUUCGCAGUUGUAGCACUUAUGGAUCGUGAGGACCAUUUGCAGUUGCUCCUGUUGGUGGAAGAGCAAGCAAUAGUGCUUCAAAAGGAUCUACCUUUUAAAACUUCUCUAUGGCGAUCCUUUGCCCCAGAACUGCAGAAAUUGAGAUGUGUGAUAGUUGGUACCACUAUCUAUAGUGGGCUGGUUGAUCCUACAGUGUUGAACCUUAUAAUCUUCUGCACCCUUGUUUGGAUGGUUUAGAUUGUUUACAGCCAAUGACAUUUAGGUAUUUAGGCCAUGUAAUUCUUUUGAGCACCUCCAGAAGACCUAAUUGUAACAUUUUAACCUAGGUUGUGACGUCUCAGCAUUCAGCAGCAGUAUGUUUGAUCAGGAAGGCUAAAACUCUGGUAACAGUAAUAUAUAUACCAGACGGAAACAAAGUAAGCUGGACAAAUGAUUUAAACAACUGAACAAGUAGUCACCAAUGUGGAGUUGAAGAAUUUUCAUUACAGGAGAAAUACCUGUCACUGUUUCUAACAAGUUUAUGGACAGAGUAUGAGUCGUGGAUUUUGAGAGUAUGCCAAGUUAUAUUAGUUAAUCUGACAAAAACCACCAAACAAUAUCUUGAAUGGAGACGGGAAUGUGUUAAUUUCUUUGUGAUUGAGGAUGACUGCAAGCUUUUUAGUGGGUCUGUUCAUUCUCUGAAGCCUGCCAGAGUGCAGUGGCGACUCUUCGUCUCUUUGACAUGCACUCUAGAGCAUAAAUUCAUAUGACAAAUGUAAAUUAUCUGCCCCCUAUGUCAGUGUAAACAAUAUAUGAGUCAAAUACAAAAGGUAUGAUUUGCAAUUUUCCUUUCUCCUAUUGUAGUUGUUCAAGUUUUUUAUUUGUGAAAGUAAUUGUUAAAAUCUGUUUGUAGUUAAUGAGUUACAUCACAGCUUUAGAACAUUUGAUUCUGUACUUGUAUGGCUAGCUCUAGCACAGGCAACUAUGAUUUAUGUCUUACCAUAUAUAGGAGUGACUCCAUACACCCCCAGCAGAAAGGUGCACAGAUCUUGGUAGCUAAUCAUUUAGUGCAAAUCAGCCAUUCAACUCAUUUUGGUUUUAGGAUAUUUGCUGUUUCCUUUCAGGAAGCAUGGAGCCACUUUGCUUCCUUACUAUAUGACCCCCCUUAGCAUAUGUUACUCUUACAGUGACUUCUUUUGCUGUAGUUUCAGUCGCUUCUAGCCUAGAUACUUCAGGAAUUUUCUUCGUUGUCAACUUGCUCUGUGUUUUUACUCGGGAAUGCAAUGAUUAACCUGUUUGCCACAUUCCUAGACCUCCUGCCCCUCGAUAUUGAAUAUGGUCAAAUUUGUGACCUGAUUGCUCUUGGAUAUAUCUAGUAUCAAACAAUCAAGGUGUCUGGCAUAGGUUGAUUAUGUCGGGUAAUAUGGGCUCUGUCUGAACUAUUUUAUAUAGAGAAGUUAUACUUCUGUUGUAUUCAUUGUGUACUUGGUUGGAAAUUAAGUUACUCUGUGGCCAUUUCUUAAAUGAGACUAUGAGAGAGAAAUUUCAUGAUAUGUGGGUUACUCAUUUGUCAUCUUUUGAAAGCAAAUGGACAAAUACAUAUAACAUGACCUCAGUCCUAUUGUUGCUUUGAACGUUGCUUUUGUGCAGUGUAGGCCUGGCACAUUUAUGCUCUUGAGACUGUUUGCAUGAGUUCUUGUGCUCUAAAGUGUCGUCACUGCCUAUAACUCUUGACUAUCAUAUUCCGCUUUAGAAAAUCUUGACUAUUAUAUGGGUCCAUGCACUCAAGUCUGUUAGUCAAGGUUUAACUUAAGGAUAUUAUUCUGAGAAAUAGAAGAUCUGUACAACUAUUUAGGCUGCAAAUAAUAAAUGAAACCGAACAUCAUCCAAGUGUAAAAGAAUUGAAGUGAUGAAAUUAAAAUUGCGGCUGUCGAAAUAGUCAGUUUAUUCAUGUACCAAGACCAGCACCAUGACUUUUCCUUUUUCAAACGAACAAAUUAUUACAGCUUACAAUAUUGAUGCCAGACUUGAAACAAAUACAAUUGUGCCAUGCAUAUUUUUUGGAAUAGUAUCAGGUUUGAUCUAUUUCCUAUUGCCCUAUGAAAGUUGUUGGUUCAAAGUUUGAAGUAAGUUCACCUGGCCUUUGUGGACUGGUUUUUUCAAAAACAAAUGCUGGUGAUGUGCAAUAAGUAGAAACUACGAGUAGGACCAGUCCAACCGCUAUAUCUUCAUUCUUCAAAGGUAUAUGUGUCAGCGGGAGCUGUCGAAAAGCUAGUUUAUUUUAGUGAAAUAACAUUUUCACAAAAUUACAGGUUUAUUUAAAAUCUACAAAGAACUGAAGAUUUAAGCAGCAAUCUAGCAUAGAGUAGCCUUCUAUGCCUAUUCCGUAGCCUGGCCAACUGCGAUGCUAGACGUUCGUCUGCAUUUCAUUACCCUGUUGGGCCAUCGCUAUUAACACUGAAGUCUCAAAACAUCCUAGAAAAAAUGUACUACUUCGUUAAAAAGUUUGAUCCUUACCUCUGUACUUCUUUAAACUCGAAAAAACGAAAUCUGCACUUCUGCAAGAUUAAUGAGCAAAUCUUCAGUUUUUUUAUGUUUUGACUACCUGUAGUCUUGCAAAAAAUUUCUCUACUACUAUACAAUGAUUGAAAUUGGGGGUCUUUUCUGCUUGCAUACCUGGGCUAAACCCGGGGCUAAAGGGAUUAGAAUCACCCUGCCUCCUUCUUGGGACGUCCAUUGAUCAAUAUGUAUCACCGAUGUACUCGCCUCUUAGGAGGAUGUAUCCCCCCCCCUUUCAAUGCAAUGAAACGCAAAGGUUUUUUGCGUUUUCUCGAGACAUAUAGAGUUGUAAAAAGGGGAUUUACUAAAAUGUUGUUCAGAAAGUCUUCUGUGUAAUGUAUGCGUAAACUAAAAUAAAAAGUAUGCUUUAUUUAUUUUUGUUCCAUGGAAAGAAUUGUUGAAAUAAACCCAAGAUAAUGAUUCAUCAAGCAUGUAACCAUUCUGAAUGGCUAUAAGCCUUUGAUAGUGUCAAAAUCUAACAACUAGCUAGGACCACCAGGCACAGUACUAAGCCCUCCUAAGAGGGGUAGGGGUCUGAUCAUACACUAGCAGUUAUACUUACCAACGCUUUGCAAUGGGUGGUUGGCUGGUCUACAGCUAGCUGCUUGCAGAAAUGCUGAUUAGACCUUAUUCUUCUAGAGUGUAUUUUAGAGAAUGUGCAAGAGCUUUGCACAUCUUAUCAUGAAGAAGUGUGCCAGAUGUGAUUUAUCUUUGAUAAAAAGAAUUAUCGAUACCGAUAAACCCAGAGAAUGUUGUACACACUAACUGCAGGCAAAGCAUUCCAGAGCAGGUUCAUUACCUUUAUACAUUAUCAAUUAGCUGUGUCCGCACAUAGCAUGUUUCGCUGGCAUCUUCCCAAACAUGGUAAAUUGGCGGUUCUCUCAUGUUGGGUCUCUUUUAGACUAUAUCUUUGCAUGGUGUAGUAAUUUACUCGCUGGAUAUUUCAGCAGAUCACUCACCAUGUGUUUGGAACUUGGAAUAGUUAUAAAAGUGUGGUAGUAUACUUUUCAUUUGAACCAUGGCAAGAAAAUUACAGGUCACAAUCCAGUGACAAAAUUUAGACUCUCAGCCCUAAUCAACUCUAGUUUCUUUACUUCUUAAUUGCAAAUUUAUGGUUCACUAUUUCAUGCAUGGUUAAUACUCCAUUUUUUUUGCUUUGGGUGUUUUUUCGGAGAAAGAAGUUUUUAAACUUUGAAUGAUGUUUUCUCAUACUCCUUCCGUCCACGAAUAAGUGUACAUUUAGCUUUAAAAUUUGUCCAUAAAAAUGUGUACAUCUAUCUUCUCAAUGCACUAUAAAGUAGAAAAAAAAUGCUUCUCUCUCAUCACAUGGUAAUCAAGACCGAUAACAUUUAAGACAUGAUCUCCUUACUUUCUACAUGCGCUUAGCUCAUUGGGUGUGGAAUAAUUAAAGAUGAAAGAGGUGAUAGCUUGCAUCUUUUCAAUGCAGUUUUAUACUUCACUUUAUAAUCUGUCUUAAAAUUUCUAUAUGCACACUUAUUCACGGACGGAGGGAGUAUCUGAGUAUAUAUUGCAUAGUAUUUGCAAAAAAAGUAUAUAUUGCAGUGGAAACCAUGCAUUGCAAGUGUGCGGUUGCUGAUAUACCAAGUCUUAUGACCCUAACCCUACAAGUUUCUAUACCAAUAAUACUACAAGUUGGGGUGAGAUGCUUUCCAUUUGAACUAUUUGUGAAUCCUUAGUGCGAACUCAUCCCUUGAGUGGUUUAUGGGAGAAAUAAUUUCAGUGAGCUUCUAUUUUAAAUACACUUUUCUUUGUAUAUGUGUGAAUUGCCUUAAAUAUACUUACCAUAUCUUUCCCACUUACUAUAUUAUAUGUUUAUAUAUUUUAUAUACUUAGAAAGAUUGGAGUUGGUGGUCGUCUGUUCAUUCUUCUCCCAAUCUUCCUCCUUCAAACUUUGACAAAUGGGACAAUCUUUGCCUCCGUUUCGAAAAAAAAAAACAAAUGGGACAAUGCAAGCCUUCACACUCCUCGUGAAUCCCCCCUUCAUGACGUCUCCCACCACUAAUUACACUUGGGCCAACUGGCCAAACUCAAAGUGGUCGGACCCUUCCGUGGACCCUGCACAAGAGGGAGCUAGCACCGGGCAAAACUCAUCUAAGCUAGCAUACAAGGUUCUUGUUCUUGGGUAAACCAAAUUCCACCUUGUUUCCUGUGGUUCCGUGGCGUAGCACUGACAUCUUUGCUAGUAAGUACUCCAUCUGUCUCAAAAUAUAAGACCUUUUAUUUUGAGAUAGAGGGAGUAGAAUAUACUGGAAAUGUCCGCUUAAAAUUUAUUCUUCACUUUUACUACAAGCUAAGGAGUGCAUGACAUCCUUUGUCUAAUAGUGUACCUUCGCAGCUUCCUCUUUAUCCAAAAGUUGAAACAUAGCACCUUUCCAUUUUUUUACUCAUUGCCAGGGGUAAUACUCCUGUUAUCUUUACAACCCACUUGACAAUGUCAUUAAUCAAUUAGUUGGCAUGUACAUGCACCAUAAUUUGGGCCAUUUUAGGUGGAUCUGGGGGAUAACAGUGUCAACAUCGCUGGGUAACUUAAUGCGUUAUGCCUUACAAAUGUUGAUUAGGAUGGCAUCGCCAGAUUGAUUCCAAUGAGUGUAGCAAAGGGCAAAGUUAAUGUUGGGGGACCAGUACACCUACACUACUGGACAUAUUGAAUGCAUGCUUUUGCAACAUGGGAGGUCCUUCACCAGCUACUGUGGCACCACAAGAUGUCAAGGCGAGACUAGUAUGAUUUUUUCAGAAAAUAUAGUAGCAGCAGCAGUGUCACUACCCUAAAUCAUUGGAGCAUCAUAUAUCUAACAAUUUGUUCUGCAGGACAUAUAAGGUGCACUAAUUGUCAUAAUAUUUCAGCUUUGCUGUGCGGAGCCCAUUUAUUAUGUUUUGAUGGAUGGAGACCUGAAGUGGUGAUCACCUUUUUCUGAUAACAAGGACAUGACGAGAAAGGCAAACUGAUUUGUUUGUAUCUAAGCAUCCCAACUCAGUAGGGAUCUCGCUAUAUUGGCAUCGCUUUUGCUUCUGGCCACCACCAUUGGAUUUCACCAAGCAAUGUUCUUAAAGCACCUGAUGAUUCUCUAUGGUGACUGAUCCCUUGUAUUACAAGAGUGUUACACAAGGGAACAUCCAGGAAUUGGAUGGAUGGUCUCAUGCGCAGGAGUAAUUGAUUGACAGAUGUUUUCGGUAAAUUGUGUUCUUCGUCUCGGUUUGGCUUACCAAAUGAUUUUGAAAACUCGGGGUGCAUGCUCUCUCUUUUCUUCAAUUGUUACUCCUUCCAGCUAUAGAAAGUACACCAUCUGUUCCCUAAUAUGAGGAGGCUGCCUUCUUCACCGUGCAGCAGCCCAUGUGACGGCGAAGCCGGGCUGCUCCUGCUCAGCAGCUCCUCUAUCAUCUGCAGC